UCACUUUCUUUUGAGCUGAACUGGUACAUUUUAGAAUACUUUUGAGCUGAACUGGUUGGUGUAUGAAAGCCAAUGGCAUCUAUGACUGUUUUUCUUUUUUUUAGUGGUCUAUAUAAAAGACUCACACCAAUUAUUAGCAGAAUAUUCAGCAUGCCCGGUUGUUGGGAAAACUAGCUGAAUCAGGCAGGGAGCGUUCCACUUCCAUUUCGUCUGUCCGGGCUGGAGGUCAUGUGGACCGUUGGAUCCUGUUUGGGCGGCCAGGGUUUGACGACCAAGUCUCUUUCUCUGCUCCUAUGGCCCCACCAGGAGCCUCAGCGUCAACGGCAACAGCACGAAGCAGACAAGCAGAUUCUCCCACUCCCUUCUCUUCUCCUGCUCCGGCGCCCGCCUUCGCUGCUCGGGACCCACCUGACCAACCAUGGAAGCUGAUCCGCCGUUGCCGCCAGCGAGCGCACUGAUGGAGGAGCUCGUGGAGGAGGUCCUGCUGCGCUUCCCACCUGCGGACCCGGCAAGCCUCGUCCGGGCCGCGCUCGUCUGCAGACGCUGGCGCCGCAUCGUCACGGGCCCGCGGUUCCGCCGCCGCUACCGCGACCUCCACCUCCACCGCGGGCGCGGGGGUUCGCAUCCCCCGAUGCUGGGCUUCCUCGCCAACGCCGGCGCGGGGACCCGCUUCGUGCCCACCUCCACCUUCCGCCUCGCACCCGCGCGCGCGCGCGCGCCCGCGGACGGCCUCCUCCUCGGCGGCUGGCGCGCGCUCGACGCCCGCCACGGCCGCGCCCUCCUGCGCCGGGACACCGGCCGCGACGCGCCCGUCGACUGCGAGCUCGCCGUCUGGGACCCCGCCACGGGCCGCCGCACGGACCUGCCCCGCCUCCCCUGGUCGCCCUACCCCUACAGCUGGAACGCCGCCGUGCUCUGCGCCGCCACAAUCACCGCCUCCGCCUGUGACCACCUCGAUUGCUGCGGCGGCGGCGGCCACUUCCUCGUCGUCGUGGUGGGCACCAACCACGCGGAGAUGUUCUCCCAUGUCUACUCGUCGGAGGCGGGCGCGUGGAACGCGUCCGCGUCCGCGUCCGCUCGGCACCCCGACGACAACGUCGACUUCGCGCCCAGCGCGCUCGCUGGGAACGCGCUCUACUUCGCGUUCCAGACGGGCGCGGCGGCCCUGGAGUACGAUUUGGGCACGCGGGAGAUGGCGGUGGUGCGCCUGCCGCCGCCGCCACGCUUGGACUGGCAGCGAGCUGUGCUCGCCACAAGGGACGAUGGUCGUCUGGGACUCGCCACGGCAGGCAAGUCCACGAUCUACCUGUGGGCGAGGGAGGCGCCGCCUCGAGGAGAUGGGAGUUGGGUACAGACUAACUAUCUACUGGCUAACUACAAAGGAAACGAAUGGAAAUAACAGGAAUAUUUGUUGGUAAUUUCUUUCUUCCCCUCUCUAACUCCCGUUCACAGUAUUUAUUACAUGACGGCUGACUCAGCGCGUCCAGCAAGACGAUGGAUAUCUUGUAUUGGGCUUGCGAACACGACGGCCCAGUCUGAUAAUUCCAGCUUCGACAUCGUCUUGGCCCAUUUCCGCAGCCUUUACAUCUUCCAUCAGAACUCCAUCCGGCUGCUGCACCUCGUCAACAUGUCUGCUCACAUGUUGUCUGCUGACAUUCCCCCUGUCUUGAAAGGACGCUUGCCCCCAAGCGACCGCACAUGGAAAGCGACGACGGACAUCACAUUCAUCUUCCCAAGAAUCCAUAGCAGCAUCACACCCCGACCACCUGAUCAAAACCUGAUCGAUAGAAGCACCUCCGCGGGAAACCACUCGACGCUGCAGCACUUGGACAGGAACACGAAGAGCGUCAGGCACUGAGGGAAGAGAUGCACUCACCAACACAUGUUGUUUGACAGAAGGUUUCAACUGGGACACAUGGAACACCGGAUGCACAUGAGAAGAAUCCGGUAGCUUCAGUUUAUAAGCAACAGCGCCCACACGUUGCAGCACUUCAUAAGGUCCAAAAUAUUUGUAUGAAAGCUUAUGAUUUGCCCGAACAGCCACUGAAGAUUGAAUAUACGGCUGCAACUUCAAAUAUACCAUAUCACCAAUUUGGAACUCCCUCUCAGACCUGGAUUUAUCCGCCUGAUUCUUCAUACGCUGUUGAGCCCGGAGCAGAUUGUGCUGAACCACACGCAUCAUAAGCUCACGUUGCGACAACCAAGCACUCAAAUCCGAAUGAGAGACUGAAUCAUCAAUAGUCAAACCGAAAUGGCGAGGCUGCCUUCCAUACAAUACCUCAAAAGGAGAUUUACCCAAUGAAGAAUGGAAACAACAAUUAUACCAAUAUUCAGCAACUGACAACCAUGAAUUCCACUUAGAAGGGCAAGCCUGAACAAAGCUGCGCAAAUACGUCUCAAGACAUUGAUUGACGCGCUCUGUCUGUCCGUCCGUCUGAGGGUGGUACGUCGAACUCAUCUGCAACUGGGUGCCUGAUAGGUGAAAUAAUUCUUUCCAUAAGUUGCUAGUGAAAAUUCUGUCGCGAUCCGACACAAUCGAUUCUGGCAUACCAUGAAGUCGAUACACAGCUGCCAUGAAUACCUGGGCGACCUUUAGUGCAGUAAACGGAUGACGCAACGGCACAAAAUGAGCAUACUUGGUCAAGCGAUCAACGACCACCAAAAUAGUAUUGUAAGAUCCAGACUGUGGCAGCCCCUCAAUAAAAUCCAGCAAAAUUGCUUGCCAUGCUUGGGUAGGAACCGGCAAUGGCUGAAGUAAUCCAGGAUAUCGAGACCUGUCAGGUUUAGCCUGAUGACACACUUGACAAGCUGCGACAAAUUCGCGCACAGAAGUCUUCAUGCGUGGCCAAUAAAAGAGUUGCUUCACUCGAGCAUAAGUAACAGGAAAUCCUGAGUGACCACCAAUAGCACUGCUAUGUAAUGCACUGAUCACAGUAGUCUGGAGGUUAGUAUUCUGUCCUAACCAAACUCUGUUUUUGUACCGAAUAACACCAUCCUGGAGAGUAUAAGGAGGUUGAGCUGACAUUGCUAAAACAGUGAGGAGCUUUAAGGCCUCAGGAUCUUGUUGGUAACCUGCAAUCACCUCCUGUAACCAUGUCGGAGUGGACACAGAAAUAGCAACACAUUCGCCAUCCUCAUGUGGCCGGCGAGACAACGCAUCAGCAGCUGAAUUAUCUACCCCUUUUUUAUAAACAAUCCGAUAAUGAAGACCCAACAACUUGGUGAAUACUUUUUGUUGCCAUUGAGUAUGGAGUCUCUGCUCGUUGAGAUGAGACAAACUGCGAUGAUCAGUGUAAAUAACAAAUUCAGCAUGCUGUAAAUAUGAACGCCACUGGUCGACUGCCAACAGAAUUGCCAAAUAUUCCUUCUCAUAGGCAGAUAAUCCCAUAUUUGUCAUUCCCAGGGCCUUGCUCACAAAUGCCAAUGGAUGACCCUCCUGCUGCAGAACAGCCCCCACUCCAGUACCAGAGGCAUCAGUUUCUAUGGCAAAUGGUUUAUGAAAAUCAGGCAACGCUAAUACAGGAGCUGAAGAUAACGCUUGCUUAAGAGACUGAAAGGCUGAUUCCUGAACAUCAGUCCACACAAAGACAGCAUGCUUCUUAAGCAAUGAAGUUAAUGGUUUGGCAAUAAUUCCAAAAUUCUUUACAAACUUCCUGUAGUAGCCUGCUAGGCCCAAAAAUCCUCUUAAUUCCUUGCAAGUCACAGGUACUGGCCACGACACAACAGUAGACACCUUGGACGGAUUAGUAGAUACCCCAGCUUGGCUGAUAACAUGUCCCAAAUAAGCAAUUUCCUGUCGACCAAAGGUGCAUUUGGACAACUUGACCUGCCAAGAAUCCUUGAGCAACAACUGUAACACCUGCUCAAUAUGUUGGAGAUGAACCUCCCACGUAGGGCUAUAAACCAAAAUAUCAUCAAAAAAUACCAAGGCACAUUUGCGAAGCAAAGGCUGCAAGGUCUUAUUCAUGGCCCCUUGAAACGUCGCAGGGGCCCCCGUAAGCCCAAACGACAUUACUCGAAACUCAUAAUGUCCAUGAUGAGUUUGGAAGGCUGUCUUAUGCUGGUCUUGAGGAGCCAUUCGAAUUUGGUGAAACCCAGCUCGUAAAUCCAGAGUUGAAAACCAAGCAGCCCCAUGCAACUCAUCAAGGAACUCAUCAAUGACUGGAACAGGAAAUCUGGUUUUGACUGUGAGGGCAUUAAGGUGACGAUAAUCCACACAAAACCUGUAAGUGUUGUCCUUCUUCUUGACUAGAAUCACUGAAGAAGAGAACUCACUUUGGCUUGGCUGAAUAAUUCCAGCAUCCAACAUCUCUGUCACUUGCUUUUCGAUCUCAGACUUCAAUGCAGGAGCAUACCUAUAAGGUCGCAUAUGAAAAGGUUGUGCACCUGGCAACAAUGCAAUAUGGUGAUCACAAUCCCUGGUGGGCGGCAAACCAGUUGGCACUGCAAAUACAGACUGGUAGCGCAGAAGCAGUGACUGUAGAUCACCAGACAACUCAGAAAUGAUAGUCUGGUCCUUCUCAUUUAACUCAGUCAAAUGGCACACCUCAAUCAGAGAACAAUGUCCUUUAGAAGAUUGCAACCCAAACAAUUUAACUUGAGUACCCCUGUAAGGGAUGACCACCCACUUCUCAGUCCAAUGCACCUCCAUAGGACUAAACUGCUCCAGCCAAUCCAUACCAACAAUAAGAUCAUAAGUCACGAGUGGUAACACACGUAAAGUGGACUGGAACUCGCACUGCCCCAACGACCAAACAGCCCCUACCAACUGUUGAGUACACUGCAUUUGACACCCAUUGGCCACCUGAACAGACAAUUCCUUGGUCAUAGGGGUUAAUCCUGUAAGGUGCUGGGCCACCCGGGAACUAAGAAAUGAAUGAGAACUACCCGAAUCCAAUAAUACCAGCAGAUCAAUUCCUUGAAUACCACCCACAAACUUUACUGUUUUAGGUGCUGAAAUAUCAGUCACAGCAGCUUGAGACAGACACAACUGAAGUUCUGCGGAUGCUUCAGAUAUAUCAUCUUCCUGUUGGUCAGACAGAUCCAGUAACUUCCAUAGUUCAUCCACCACAUGUAACUGGACUGUAUCAGCACAACGAUGUCCCUUGGCAUAUUGCAAGCCGCAUUUAUAACAAAGGCCUUUAGCUUUCCGAUAUGCAAACAACGAAGCCAGCUUAUCUUGAGUGGUCUUUUCAGUAGUAGCAGGAGAGUCAGCAACCUUGGCAUUCGGCAACUGACGAGAAGGCAAAGGACCUUUGGAGAAGGACUGAGAAUAAGAUGACAUCUCCAUCCUGCGACCGUCUUUCUUCUUGUCACUGACUUCCUCCUGCAAUUGCGCCAAAACGACAGCAGUAUCCAAAUCUUUAGGUCGUUGCACAAUUACUACUGAUUUAAUAUCAUCACGAAGACCAUCAAUGAAGCGAGUAGUAUAAUAAAGAGGAUCAUCAUGAGGAUUAUAUGCAUGCAAUUGAUCUAUCAGCUGAAAAAAUCUCUCAACAUACUCAGUGACAGUAGAAUUUUGUCUAAUGUGAAAUAGCUGCCUAAUAAGAAGUUCGUGCUGAUUUUUGCCAAAACGGUCCCCAAUCAUGUGACAGAAAUCAGGCCAUGUGAGAUAUGGCAACUGAUGCUCAAUGGAUUGAAGCCAUCGUGAUGCUGGCCCAGUAAAAUUCAUCUUAGACACUUUGAUCCACACACUAGGGUGUACUGAAUACAUAGCAAAGUAAUCCUCGCAACGCGACUGCCACAACUUAGGACUGUCGCCAUCAAACCCAGGAAAUGGCAUCUUAGGCAGAUUACCAAGAGAUCCCGAGUACGUAUCCAAAGCAGUUCCCCCAAAAACAUCAUGCGUACUGGACUGGAAAUUCUGAGGGAAAAAACUAGGGCCAGCAUUCAUACCAUUGUGCGGGAGUAAGCCGUGAGUAUAGGGAUACCCAGGGCCUUCCUCCCGGUGGUGGUAAGCAUCAUGAUGUCCGCGUGGUGCGUCGACGUUCAUCCGAGGAGCAGACGGACGCGCCACCGGCGGUAUGUAUGGCAUCGACGCAUCCGGCCGACGUGGAGGAGAUGCGUGGUGCGGCCGCCCCCAGGGUUCGGACAUACGCGCGACCUCCGCACGAAGAGACUCCACGCUGGCUUGGGCGACGCCCACAGAGCGCUCGACGUAUGGCCUCCAAGACUCCAGAACCGCCGUAGCCGAUUCAAGGUUGGCCACACGCCCAGAUAAGGCCUCGUCGACGGCAUCAAUGCGCUCCCAUGUCAGAGAUUGGAAUUCCCCCACCUGAGUCUCCACCUGAUGCGACAACGACCGAGCCAUGUCCGCUCGAACAGCAGCAGGAACCUCCACCUCUUGCAGCUUGGUCGCCAAGGUGCCGAUAGAAGCGAUGUUACCCGCCACUGUCUUCUCAAGCGUCUCCCAAUGGCGGUCUUGCGCGUCGAGGCGGUCACAGAUCUGCUUCAGCAGCCGAGCUUGGGCGGCCAUGGUCUGCGCCUGCGCCUCAAGCGCCACAGCGAUGCUCGAAUCCCCUGAACUCGCCAUCGGUGAGGGACGGGAACAGCUGUGCCCAGGAUGAACAAAGCCGAUACCACUUGUAACUAUCUACUGGCUAACUACAAAGGAAACGAAUGGAAAUAACAAGAAUAUUUGUUGGUAAUUUCUUUCUUCCCCUCUCUAACUCUCGUUCACAGUAUUUAUUACAUGACGGCUGACUCAGCGCGUCCAGCAAGACGAUGGAUAUCUUGUAUUGGGCUUGCGAACACGACGGCCCAGUCUGAUAAUUCCAGCUUCGACAUCGUCUUGGCCCAUUUCCGCAGCCUUUACAUCUUCCAUCAGAACUCCAUCCGGCUGCUGCACCUCGUCAACAUGUCUGCUCACAUGUUGUCUGCUGACACAGACCAGAGCCAUCGAGCUUGACACGCUGCUCCCUGUCGGUGCCCUCUCGGCCUUUGUUGAUGUGGUUAGCUUUGUGGAUGGCGUCGGUGUCGUGUUUGUGCGGACGGGCGAUGGGCUAUUCACCAUUGAUCUGAUGUCUCGCCGGGUCACAAAGGUAUUCAAGGACACUUUCUUCUCCGGCAUUUUCCCCUACAUGAGCUUCCACACUCCAGCACUGGAAGUUGCCUCAACUGGUGAGGGGCCAAGUUCAGGUACUUAAGGUGCUUAUGUGCAGGUUUCUCAGUCAAGGGGAAACUUAGUUGCCUCUCGGUGGGUUCUUGCUUUUAAUUCAAGGGCUCUAAGUUUUUUCUAAAGGAUUCUAUCUUGUAAAUUUGUUAGUUUGAUCACUGCCUUGUGUAGUUGUGUGUGAACUGGUAAAUGUGUGUGUGUUCUCCUGAACUGUAGCUUGCAAAGAAAUCCUAGAAUGAAUGUGAUUUCCCUUCUGUGUACAUAUGUAUGCUCAAGAAAACAAGCAUUUGAAGUGAAUGUUCUGCACUUUCGUA